rnacentral:tRNA from 1 species
GGGGCUGUAGCUCAGUCGGUUAGAGCAUCGGACUCAUAAUCCGCCGGUCCAGGGUUCAAGCCCCUGCAGCCCCA